GCUUAACACAUGCAAGUCGAGCGAGAAUCGUUUUGCUGAAGGCUUCGGUCUGACGCAGAAUGAGGAAAGCGGCGAACGGGUGAGUAACGCGUGGGCAACCUGGCCUUAAGAAAAGGAUAGCCCCCGGAAACGGGGAGUAAUACUUUAUGAGAAUAGAAAGGGCAUCCUAUUUCUAUUCAAAGCGCAAGCGCUUAAGGAUGGGCCCGCGUAUCAUUAGCUAGUUGGUGAGAUAACAGCCCACCAAGGCAACGAUGAUUAGCCGGUCUGAGAGGGCGAACGGCCACAUUGGAACUGAGAGACGGUCCAAACUCCUACGGGAGGCAGCAGUGGGGAAUAUUGCGCAAUGGAGAAGAACUCUGACGCAGCAAUACCGCGUGAGCGAAGAAGGUCUUCGGAUCGUAAAGCUCUGUUAUCAGGGAAGAAGAAAAUGACGGUACCUGAUGAGCAAGUCCCGGCUAACUACGUGCCAGCCGCCGCCGUAA
rnacentral:rRNA from 1 species